AUGGUAAGUCGCAGGGGGCAACUUGAGAGCUUGCAGCAUGAGGGCAAAGAUGUGGGAAUAAGGAAUCAGUAUUACAUAAAAGUUCUCGAUGCUAGUUGUUUCUUAAAAUGUGAAAAUAUAUAUGACCAUGGUCGUUUGGCACAUACUGCUAAGUGCAUACAAGAAAAACUGAAUGUUUUUUUCGUCUGGCCAUUCCAGCAUCGACAUAAACGCUCAAAUCAAUUCAACCUGUUGUUUCUUAUCUACAGGGACUCACGGUCAAACAAGAAAGCUAUUCUCUGGCCACUGAUGUUGAGGCUACCUACACGAUGCAGGACCGUGUCAUCUACAACAAACAUGGUAACCAUAUUAUUAAUAUUUCAUCAUAACCAAUUUUUAUUAUUCCAUGAUCAUCUCUUUCCAACUAACUUGUACAUGCCAGUGUCUCUGCAAAAAGCACAGGCAACUACUUGA
rnacentral:rRNA from 1 species